UAGAGUUUGAUCAUGGCUCAGAAUGAACGCUGGCGGCGUGCCUAACACAUGCAAGUCGAACGAGAAAUUUCUGCUUCGGCGGAAAAAGUAAAGUGGCGCACGGGUGAGUAACGCGUGGGUAACCUGCCCUUGAAUUCGGGAUAACCCCGUGAAAACGGGACUAAUACCGGAUAUCGUCCCUUUGGCUGUGGCCUUUGGGAUGAAAGGUGACCUCUUCAUGAAAGUUGCCGUUCGAGGAGGGGCCCGCGUACCAUUAGCUUGUUGGUGGGGUAAUGGCCUACCAAGGCUACGAUGGUUAGCUGGUCUGAGAGGAUGAUCAGCCACACUGGAACUGAAACACGGUCCAGACUCCUACGGGAGGCAGCAGUGAGGAAUUUUGCGCAAUGGGGGAAACCCUGACGCAGCAACGCCGCGUGAGUGAUGAAGACCUUCGGGUCGUAAAGCUCUGUCAAGUGGGAAAAAAUACUUCCGGUCAAUACCCGGAAGGANGGAAGG
rnacentral:rRNA from 1 species